rnacentral:rRNA from 1 species
AUGCUUCUCUUGUCGGUCUGGAGUUGGAAACGCUUGCCAGUUGGGCGGCCAACGCCUGCGGGUCUUGGUUAUGAGCCAUGGGAUGAUCAUGAUGACCCGGACCGUAUGCCUACAUGGGCAUAUAAGUGGGACAAGGUUGAAGGUUUUGUUGGCAAUUCAAAGACCAUGUAUUUGCACUAUUGCAACGAGCUCGACAUCAUGACCCCAGAGCAGGUUAGUUUGUUGACUGUGUUGCCCCUUCGGUUUUCCAAAAAUCAUAGUAAGCAUCUAUUUUAUUAUUUGACGCUACAGGUGACCUAG